rnacentral:lncRNA from 1 species
GGUGAUCCGCCCACCUCGGCCUCCCAAAGUGCUGGGAUUAUAGACGUGAGCCACCGCACCCGACCUAGGUUUUUGUUUAAAAUUGGGCCUUUGUUCUUAUUCAGUAAAUCUAUGUCACAGGAUGAGCCAGGAUUUAAAUAUAUAAUUUUUUAGUAUCUUUCACGUCAAAUUAGAAACACAUAUUUGGAAUUUACUGCUGCAGUCUCUACUGUGCUUAUCAUGGUAGUGGCUGAAACUGGAAGACAUUUUUUUUUAAACCCUGAAGUCAUCCAUACUUGCUACUUAUUUAGUCUUCUUGCUUGGAAUGAAAAGUAUUCACGAAUACCACCACCUAAGCACCUGUUUAAAAUGAAACUCAGCCUUCAGCUUGCAAAAUGAUGUCUUUAUAAUUAAGCAAACAGCAGAAGACCCAUGCAAGUUGUUUCUUUCUUCCUGGAGAAGUUGGCAGGAUAACUGGAAUCCUAGGAGCUCCUCUGUAUUGAAUUUGCCAAGUCCUGAGUUCAGAAUUUUGUUUUUGAGAUGAAUAUAAAAGCACCUAAUGGUCAAGGAAAAUUUUCUUCCUGUGAUAAGGAACCUUUGCUUUAGUGUAGAUGACCACUCCCCUCUGCAAGGUAGGGAGGAAGAAUGUUCGGUUAGUUCCUUUCCUCUGGCCGAUCUCUUUUUUUCUUCUCUUCGCACAGUCCAACAGAUGCGCUCGGCCUCCCGGGAGCUAGCCCGCCCCCGGCCCAGAGGCCAAUUUACAGCCGCACGCCUCACUCCACCAUCCUCGCAGCUUCUCCGCGGAUAACUUCUUAACCAAGUGGCCGAACUUAGUACCACCAAUGCUGGAACAAAGUGACAUCAUGUGCCUUGCAUUGUGAUGCAA